rnacentral:tRNA from 1 species
UUGGGACGUAGGCAAGUGGUAAGCCACCGGGUUUUGGCUCCGGCAUUCACAGGUUCGAACCCUGUCGUCCCAGU